UGGGGAAUUUUGGACAAUGGGCGCAAGCCUGAUCCAGCCAUGCCGCGUGCGGGAAGAAGGCCUUCGGGUUGUAAACCGCUUUUGUCAGGGAAGAAAUCUUCUGAGUUAAUACCUCGGGAGGAUGACGGUACCUGAAGAAUAAGCACCGGCUAACUACGUGCCAGCAGCCGCGGUAAUACGUAGGGUGCAAGCGUUAAUCGGAAUUACUGGGCGUAAAGCGUGCGCAGGCGGUUUUGUAAGACAGAGGUGAAAUCCCCGGGCUCAACCUGGGAACUGCCUUUGUGACUGCAAGGCUUGAGUGCGGCAGAGGGGGGAUGGAAUUCCGCGUGUAGCAGUGAAAUGCGUAGAUAUGCGGAGGAACACCGAUGGCGAAGGCAAUCCCCUGGGCCUGCACUGACGCUCAUGCACGAAAGCGUGGGGAGCAAACAGGAUUAGAUAGCCCUGGUAGUCCACGCCCUAAAACGAUGUCAACUGGUUGUUGGGAAGGUUCCUUCUCAGUAACGUAGCUAACGCGUGAAGUUGACCGCCUGGGGAGUACGGCCGCAAGGUUG
rnacentral:rRNA from 1 species